rnacentral:rRNA from 1 species
AUGAACGCUGGCGGCGUGCCUAAUACAUGCCAGUCGAGCGAACGGACGAGAAGCUUGCUUCUCUGAUGUUAGCGGCGGACGGGUGAGUAACACGUGGAUAACCUACCUAUAAGACUGGGAUAACUUCGGGAAACCGGAGCUAAUACCGGAUAAUAUUUUGAACCGCAUGGUUCAAAAGUGAAAGACGGUCUUGCUGUCACUUAUAGAUGGAUCCGCGCUGCAUUAGCUAGUUGGUAAGGUAACGGCUUACCAAGGCAACGAUGCAUAGCCGACCUGGGAGGGUGAUCGGCCACACUGGAACUGAGACACGGUCCAGACUCCUACGGGAGGCAGCAGUAGGGAAUCUUCCGCAAUGGGCGAAAGCCUGACGGAGCAACGCCGCGUGAGUGAUGAAGGUCUUCGGAUCGUAAAACUCUGUUAUUAGGGAAGAACAUAUGUGUAAGUAACUGUGCACAUCUUGACGGUACCUAAUCAGAAAGCCACGGCUAACUACGUG